UACGGGGGGGGCAAGCGUUGUUCGGAAUUACUGGGCGUAAAGGGCUCGUAGGUGGCCAACUAAGUCAGACGUGAAAUCCCUCGGCUUAACCGGGGAACUGCGUCUGAUACUGGAUGGCUUGAGAUUGGGAGAGGGAUGCGGAAUUCCAGGUGUAGCGGUGAAAUGCGUAGAUAUCUGGAGGAACACCGGUGGCGAAGGCGGCAUCCUGGACCAACACUGACACUGAGGAGCGAAAGCCAGGGGUGCAAACGGG
rnacentral:rRNA from 1 species